AACGGGAGAGUAACACGUGAGUAACCUGCCCUUAACUCUGGGAUAAGCCUGGGAAACUGGGUCUAAUACCGGAUAUGACUCCUCAUCGCAUGGUGGGGGGUGGAAAGCUUUAUUGUGGUUUUGGAUGGACUCGCGGCCUAUCAGCUUGUUGGUGAGGUAAUGGCUCACCAAGGCGACGACGGGUAGCCGGCCUGAGAGGGUGACCGGCCACACUGGGACUGAGACACGGCCCAGACUCCUACGGGAGGCAGCAGUGGGGAAUAUUGCACAAUGGGCGAAAGCCUGAUGCAGCGACGCCGCGUGAGGGAUGACGGCCUUCGGGUUGUAAACCUCUUUCAGUAGGGAAGAAGCGAAAGUGACGGUACCUGCAGAAGAAGCGCCGGCUAACUACGUGCCAGCAGCCGCGGUAAUACGUAGGGCGCAAGCGUUAUCCGGAAUUAUUGGGCGUAAAGAGCUCGUAGGCGGUUUGUCGCGUCUGCCGUGAAAGUCCGGGGCUCAACUCCGGAUCUGCGGUGGGUACGGGCAGACUAGAGUGAUGUAGGGGAGACUGGAAUUCCUGGUGUAGCGGUGAAAUGCGCAGAUAUCAGGAGGAACACCGAUGGCGAAGGCAGGUCUCUGGGCAUUAACUGACGCUGAGGAGCGAAAGCAUGGGGAGCGAACAGGAUUAGAUACCCUGGUAGUCCAUGCCGUAAACGUUGGGCACUAGGUGUGGGGGACAUUCCACGUUUUCCGCGCCGUAGCUAACGCAUUAAGUGCCCCGCCUGGGGAGUACGGCCGCAAGGCUAAAACUCAAAGGAAUUGACGGGGGCCCGCACAAGCGGCGGAGCAUGCGGAUUAAUUCGAUGCAACGCGAAGAACCUUACCAAGGCUUGACAUGAACCGGAUAUACCUGGAAACAGGUGCCCCGCUUGCGGUCGGUUUACAGGUGGUGCAUGGUUGUCGUCAGCUCGUGUCGUGAGAUGUUGGGUUAAGUCCCGCAACGAGCGCAACCCUCGUUCUAUGUUGCCAGCGCGUUAUGGCGGGGACUCAUAGGAGACUGCCGGGGUCAACUCGGAGGAAGGUGGGGACGACGUCAAAUCAUCAUGCCCCUUAUGUCUUGGGCUUCACGCAUGCUACA
rnacentral:rRNA from 1 species